GAAAACCCUAAAGUGAUCAUUCUUUCCUCACGAUACUUUUGCAAUCAUCUUAUUUAUCUACUGUCGUGAAGCUUCACCAAGGGUUUGGGGUAAAUUUAUGCCAUUUCUGGAAGAAAACGCAGGAGAUGCAAGGCAAAACUUGAUUCGGUAGUUGCAUAGGUACCGCCAUGAGAGCACUCUUCGCUUUUGCUGAUUUUGGGGAAACUGGGGCUGUCGUGGACGCCAUUUUCUGCACAUCCUUUCGCCAUUAGUGAAAACUGGGCAUGAUUUCAUUGGUUUCUCUUGCUGCUUGGCACAAUUUUAUGAGAAAUGUCUGGCCGCCAUGGAUGAUUUUUUGCAAAAAUUUGGAAAACAAAAAAGAAAACUCCAGAUACCAGAAGGAAAACAGAUACAAACUAGGACGAAGUAGCAAGACAAAGGCAACAUCGAGGCUACUCGAACCAUCCCAGUCAUUCAAGCAAUGACUGGUUCCAUUCUCAACAUGCUCUCUUUACUUUUGUACUCAUGUAUACAUAUCUAUGUAUUUCCUUUCUGCACCUGAUGUAUGUAGCUAGUCUCACGGCUCCUUGUGUGAGACGCAUGUUUGAAUAUCAAUAAAAAUAUUUCUCUUUUUUA